rnacentral:rRNA from 1 species
UACGGAGGGUGCGAGCGUUGUCCGGAAUCAUUGGGCGUAAAGGGCGCGUAGGUGGCCCAGUAAGCGUGCGGUGAAAGCUCGGGGCUCAACCCCGGGUCGGCCGUGCGAACUACUGGGCUGGAGCACUGUAGAGGCAGGCGGAAUUCCGGGUGUAGCGGUGGAAUGCGUAGAUAUCGUCUGGAACGCCGAAGGUGAAAACAGCUCGCUGGGGCUGCGCUGACGCUGAGACACGAAAGCCAGGGGAGCGAACGGG